rnacentral:rRNA from 1 species
UUGGUAUCUUAGUGGCGGACGGGUGAGUAACGCGUGGGUAACCUGCCUUACACUGGGGGAUAACACUUAGAAAUAGGUGCUAAUACCGCAUAACAGGGAAAGAUGCAUGUCUUUUCCUUAAAAACUCCGGUGGUGUAAGAUGGACCCGCGUCUGAUUAGCUAGUUGGCGGGGUAACGGCCCACCAAGGCGACGAUCAGUAGCCGGCCUGAGAGGGUGAACGGCCACAUUGGGACUGAGACACGGUCCAAACUCCUACGGAAGGCAGCAG